AUUGAACGCUGGCGGCAUGCCUAACACAUGCGAGUCGAACGGCAGCAUGACCUAGCUUGCUAGGUUGAUGGCGAGUGGCGCACGGGUGAGUAAUGCGUAGGAAUAUACCUUAAAGUGGGGGAUAACCUGGGGAAACUCAGGCUAAUACCGCAUGAGCUCUGAGGAGGAAAGCUGGGGACCGUAAGGCCUGGCGCUUUAAGAUUAGCCUACGUCCGAUUAGCUAGUUGGUGGGGUAAGAGCUUACCAAGGCGACGAUCGGUAGCUGGUCUGAGAGGAUGAUCAGCCACACUGGGACGGAGACACGGCCCAGACGCCUACGGGAGGCAGCAGUGGGGAAUAUUGGACAAGGGGGGCAACCCUGAUCCAGCGAUGCCGCGUGUGUGAAGAAGGCCUGCGGGUUGUAAAGCACUUUCAGUGGGGAGGAGGGCUUAAGGGUUAAGAGCUAUUAAGUUGGACGUUACCCACAGAAGAAGCACCGGCUAACUCCGUGCCAGCAGCCGCCGUAA
rnacentral:rRNA from 1 species